rnacentral:rRNA from 1 species
UGCAAGUCGAACGAUGAUCUCCAGCUUGCUGGGGGGAUUAGUGGCGAACGGGUGAGUAACACGUGAGUAACCUGCCCUUGACUCUGGGAUAAGCCUGGGAAACUGGGUCUAAUACCGGAUACGACCGUCCCGCGCAUGCGGUGGUGGUGGAAAGCUUUUGCGGUUUUGGAUGGACUCGCGGCCUAUCAGCUUGUUGGUGGGGUAAUGGCCUACCAAGGCGACGACGGGUAGCCGGCCUGAGAGGGUGACCGGCCACACUGGGACUGAGACACGGCCCAGACUCCUACGGGAGGCAGCAGUGGGGAAUAUUGCACAAUGGGCGAAAGCCUGAUGCAGCGACGCCGCGUGAGGGAUGACGGCCUUCGGGUUGUAAACCUCUUUCAGUAGGGAAGAAGCGAAAGUGACGGUACCUGCAGAAGAAGCGCCGGCUAACUACGUGCCAGCAGCCGCGGUAAUACGUAGGGCGCAAGCGUUAUCCGGAAUUAUUGGGCGUAAAGAGCUCGUAGGCGGUUUGUCGCGUCUGCUGUGAAAGACCGGGGCUCAACUCCGGUUCUGCAGUGGGUACGGGCAGACUAGAGUGAUGUAGGGGAGACUGGAAUUCCUGGUGUAGCGGUGAAAUGCGCAGAUAUCAGGAGGAACACCGAUGGCGAAGGCAGGUCUCUGGGCAUUAACUGACGCUGAGGAGCGAAAGCAUGGGGAGCGAACAGGAUUAGAUACCCUGGUAGUCCAUGCCGUAAACGUUGGGCACUAGGUGUGGGGGACAUUCCACGUUUUCCGCGCCGUAGCUAACGCAUUAAGUGCCCCGCCUGGGGAGUACGGCCGCAAGGUA